rnacentral:pre_miRNA from 5 species
UCUUAGGGAUGAGCAAAGAGAGUGGUUCUUGAGAUGGAAUCUACUCUUGGUGGAAGAUACUGUGAA